GUACGAUCUGCGCAGUCGUUAACCCCGUUUGUCAAAUAUGAUUUGUUAAGUUCUUCAUUUUUGUUGUAUAUUAUUGUUAUUGCAAAUUUUGUUACUGUAAAAAUUGUGUUUACAUAUUCCUUUUUCUGUUGGACCAUCUGUUAUACUCGUAUUUUCAAGAAUGUUGGAUGGUUUUUCUUGUGUGAUAUGCAGCUACAAGACAAGGAUGUGCUCAAGUUCAAGAGAACUUCAUAAAGUUCACUUAAGUCGUGGAAGACAGUUUGAGUGUAGUGGUGAUCUUGAAAAAUAUGAAUGUCACAAUUGUGUCAGUUUUAAAACUCAGUGUUUGGCAGAACUAAAACAACACAUCGCACAAGGUCACGUCUCAGAAAAUAUUAAACUGAAACCCUACAGGUGUCCAAAAUGUGACUUUAAAUCCUAUUCUAAGUAUCUUGUUGGGAGACAUAUUAUUUUUGUAAAACACCAAGAAACAACGAAAGUGUCUCAGAAUGAACCUGUGAAACAUCCUGAAACAACAAAGAUUUUACUAGACAAAGUAAGGCAAGAACAAAAUUUAAAUGGACAAUCUCAAAACAAGACUGAUUAUCAAACUGAAAAAAUUGACAUUAAUCAAAAUUUGAAAAAUCCCGGGAUAAAAGCUAAAAAUGCAACAAUUCAAUGGAAUAGAUGUGAUUUUUGCUCUCAUAGAACUAGAAGUGAAGAGAGGUUGAGAGAACACAUCAGAAAAACACAUGACCCAAGGGUCUGUCACUUAUUACAUUCUUAUUACUUGAGAAAACACGUAGUUUGUAAGAAACGUAAAGAUAUUGUAGCAGUACAACCAAAUUAGUUAGAAACAACCAACGACUGUAUAUUUUUUUUGCUUCUGUAAGUAUACAAGAUGAGUUUUCUGUAAGUAUAUUUUUGUGUAUCUCAAAAUCUGAUAACCCUAAAAUAAGCGUUUGCUAGUUUUUAACUAUUCUUAUCUGUGCAUGUAAAUUUUUCUAGAAUUUUGUGUAAGUCUUUUUAAUUAAAAAUAAUUAAUUAUUAAUUAACAUUAAGUUGUAACAGAAUUAUUUUUUUGAUACAGUAAAAUAUAGGGUGAUUCAAAAAUGUGUGGCAUAAUUCUAACCACGAAUACACUCCUCUACAAAUAAGAAAAGUUAGCACAGUAUUUACUGACCCACCUCAAUAAAACAGAAAAAUUUUAGCUUUUAGAAAAUUGGUAUGCAAAAUUGAAAAUUAAAAAAUACACCUUUUGAAAUGGUGUUUUGGAAGUCUAGUAAAAGAUAUACAUUUCCGAUGACAAUGAAAUUCUUCCAGUUUUUUUUUCAUAUUUUUUCAAGCUUGUUUGCACGUAUUUUUGAUGACCUAUCAUUUUUUUUCAUAAAAAUGUUCUAUUUUCAUAUCGCCAAAAUGUACCGUUCUUGAGUUAUUUGGGUUUUAGCUAAACCCUACACCACGCUGCAAGAUUAAAAAGUAUGAAUUUUGAGCGUACCAUUACCUAGGAAACAAUCUACUACAAAUGACAGCUGUAAAUUCUGCCAAAUAAUUUAAAGUAAAAUUUGUUUAUUUCUUGAUGAUCACAAUAAAACACACAAUUAGGUGUUGGAAGAAACUAUAAAUUGUUAUUCAAAUCUUCUUUGUUCUUUGCGCUUCACUAAACAGCACAGGCGUCAUCUAGCGCCAAAUAUUGCAAUUGUGCUACUUGUUUUGACGUUU